UACGUAGGGUGCGAGCGUUGUCCGGAAUUACUGGGCAUAAAGAGCUCGUAGGUGGUUUGUCGCGUCGUCUGUGAAAUUCCGGGGCUCAACCCCGGACUUGCAGUGGGUACGGGCAGACUAGAGUGUGGUAGGGGAGACUGGAAUUCCUGGUGUAGCGGUGAAAUGCGCAGAUAUCAGGAGGAACACCGAUGGCGAAGGCAGGUCUCUGGGCCACUACUGACGCUGAGAAGCGAAAGCAUGGGGAGCGAACAGGAUUAGAUA
rnacentral:rRNA from 1 species